rnacentral:tRNA from 1 species
GGGGGUGUGGCUCAGUAGUAGAGUGCUUACCUUGCAUGUGUAAGGCCUUGAGUUCCAUUUUAACACCACCA